GACGAACGCUGGCGGCGUGCUUAACACAUGCAAGUCGAACGGAAAUGCCCUACUAUUGUGUGGUGCUCGAGUGGCGAACGGGUGUGUAACACGAGCGUAACCUGCCCUUGACUUUGGGAUAACUUCAGGAAAGUGGUGCUAAUACCGGAUAGGAGCUCCUGCUGCAUGAUGGGGGUUGCAGAGUUUCGGCGGUGUGGGAUGGACUGGCGGUUUAUCAGCUUGUUGGUGGGGUAGUGGCUUACCAAGGCUUUGACGGGUAGCCGGCCUGAGAGGGUGACCGGCCACAUUGGGCCUGAGAUACGGCCCAGAAGCCUACGGGAGGCAGCAGUGGGGAAUCUGGCACAACGGGCGGAAGCCUGAUGCAGAAACGCCGCGAGCGGGAUGCCCGCCUUCGGGUGGUAAACCGCUGUCGCCUUUGACGAAGCGUGAGUGACGGUAAUGGGUAAAGAAGCACCGGCUAACUACGUG
rnacentral:rRNA from 1 species